CAGCCGCCGCGGUAAUACCGGCGGCCCGAGUGGCGGUCACUAUUAUUGGGCUUAAAGCGUCCGUAGCCGGGGUGGGAAGUCCUCCGGGAAAUCUGGCCGCUUAACGGUCAGAAUGCCGGAGGAUACUCCCAGCCUAGGGGGCGGGAGAGGCCGAGGGGAUUCCCGGGGUAGGGGGGAAAUCCUAUAAACCCGGGAGGACCACCUGUGGCGAAGGCGCUCGGCUGGAACGCGUCCGACGGUGAGGGACGAAGGCCAGGGGAGCAAACCGGAUUAGAUACCCGGGUAGUCCUGGCUGUAAACGAUGCGGACUUUGUGUCGGACAAGCUAUGAGCUUGUCCGGUGCCGGAGGGAAACCGUUAAGUCCGCCGCCUGGGGAGUACGGCCGCAAGGUUGAAACUUAAAGGAAUUGGCGGG
rnacentral:rRNA from 1 species